rnacentral:lncRNA from 1 species
AUUCCAUAAGCAGCAAGAAGAUCAUCAAAUGGAUCAUGUGGUGCAUCAUACUCAAACUGCAAGAGUUAAAGUUAGGAGUCAUCAACAUGACAAGAAAAGCGAAGUGUGGCAAAAAGAAAAACAGAGGCAUACCAAUCUUUCCAGAAUAUUUUCUAAGAGAUGAUAUACCAACCAACACACUUAUCAACAAAAGAGGAAUUUCCACUGAAACAAGAACCAAAAACCCUAAGUUCCUUAACAACUAAGCCACUCAACUUGAAAAGAAAAACCAGAUCUAGACACUAAACCCUAAUACCAACCAACAUUUAUCAACAAAAGAGGAUUUUCGACUAAAACAAGAACCAAAACCCCUUAGCAACUAAGCCAUUCAGCUUGCAAAGAAAAACCAAAUCUAAACACAAAACACUAAAUCUUUAGCCAUUUCUAGUGAAAAAAUAGCAAUACAAAAAGGAAAAUACGAACCCUAACCCCAAAAAUCAUAGCCAUUGUCAUUGCAAACAAAGUAAGCCAAAACCCCAUUAUUGAAAAAAUGAAAAAUGAAAAAGCGAACCUCAGGCUCAAGGGCAUGCGAGUCAGCUAUCUCUACCAACUCCAGACCAGUCAGAAGGAAAACGACGCCAGGUGGCAUCUGUGAAUCAACUUCGGCCGUCGGCUCAUCGUCAUUUCUUGGCGCCGAAGCCAUUUGGAUUCUCAGGAAAGUUUUCUUUCGUUUCUUUCUUCGCUAUACAGUAACGCGUGCGUUUCGUUUUCUUUUUUUUUUUCUUUGCUCUUUUAAUUGGCGCCUGAUUCUUAAAUAGUUGUGUCUGUGUAAUCGCGACCGUUGAUUUGAUCAUUUACGCAAUCGUGACCAUCCAUCCAAUCACCGCCCCAUCAGCCAGCAUCCUAGACGCUCCAAAUGCAAAUCUUGUAAACUUGGAUUAUAUCUGAACCGUCCAUUUACUCCCUUGAUGCUUAUACAUAUCUCAUCCUUUCCCAAUUUAGCCAUUUGUUUGAGUCGAACUUUUGACCUGUGAUAUGAGAUUGGAGUGUACUGGAAUGAUGUAUAUCAAAUAAUUGAAAUAUGUUUGGGUAGUUGGAAGAGAGUGAUUUUAUUUUAGUUGCUUAAAUUGUUUCAAAUAUCUAUUAGUCCUGAUCUCUUGGACCACAGAGGUCCAAGAAAUUUUUGGUCACUCACCGUUGGAUGUAAAUUCAACGGUUCACUCACUCUUGAACUCAUUUUAAUAAACUUUUUUAUACCAUUAGAUUAAUAUCCAACGGUGGGUGACCACAAUCUCUUGGACUCCUGUGGUCCAAGAGAUCGGGACUGAAAUAUCUAUAUAUAUAAAGCAAAAGGCAGAGAAUGGUGAAACAUUCAAAAUACCAGAAAAUGCCCUCGGUUAAUGCAAACAUUAAGAAUUCAAAUUAUUAAUUAAAUAAGGAUAAUAUGAUAAAUUCACACUUUUUCAUAUUUAAAAAAAUUAAAAGAAAAAGAAAAAGCAGAUAAUGUAUCCUAUUUUUAUGGAACACAACUACCCAUUAUCUUUUUUAAUUCUAAAAUAAAUUUACUUAUUUUUUUAAAAAAACCGCUCGCAAGCGCGGAAGCGCGUGCAGAGAGGCUAGUAUCUAUAUAUAUAAAGCAAAAGGCAGAGAAUGGUGAAACAUUCAAAAUACCAGAAAAUGCCCUUGGUUAAUGCAAAUAUUAAGAAUUGAAAUUAUUAAUUAAAUGAGGAUAAUAUGAUAAAUUCACAAUUUUUUGUAUUAAAAAAAUUAAAAUUAAAAGAAAAUUCAGAUAAUGGGUCCUAUUUUUAUGGAACACAAAUAUUCAUUAUCUUUUUUUAAUUUUAAAAUAAAUUUAAAUUUUUUUUAAAAAAAACCUCUCGCAUGCGCGUGCAGAGAGGCUAGUAUAUAUAUAUAAAGCAAAAGGCAGAGAGCGGUGAAACAUUCAAAAUACCAGAAAAUGUCCUUAGUUAAUGCAAACUUUAAGAAUUGAAAUUAUUAAUUAAUUAGGAUAAUAUGGUAAAUUCACACUUUUUCAUAUUAAAAAAAUUAAAAUUAAAACAAAAAUCAGAUAAUGAAUCCUAUUUUCAUGGAACAUAACUACCCAUUAUCUUUUUUAAUUCUAAAAUAAAUUUAUAAUUUUUUAACAAUUUAUUUUAUUAUUUUUAAAUAAAUUACGAGCCUAUCUACUGCCCCGUCACUCAUUAACAUACUUAUUUAACGGCAGAGUAACUAUGAAUACGAAAAAUAGUAGAAAACCAAGAUUUAUGUACGAAGUUGACACAAUAAAUAUCAAUAAAAUAAAAAAAAAGUUUAGGUAGUAAAUUCAGUAAAUUAAAAUUUACCCAUAAAAAUAAUGAAAUAUUUCAAACACUUAAUUGAAGAAAAAGGUGAACUCCAAAUGUUACUGUUCACUUGUUUUGGUUUAAUCCUGUGAUUGUAGGGUAAAAUUUUCCAUUGACUUGAAAACCACUGGUGGCCAACAAAUCUACUUUCUUUAGUGUGCGAGCGUGCCACUGUCAGCAGUUAAAAAUCUUAACAAACCUAUGAAACAAAGAUAACUUGCGCUCCAAGUUACUGACUUAAACAAGUGAUUGUGCAUUUGGGUGAGGAAUAUCUCCCAAGUAAGUUCUUUUCUUGCCUUAUCACAGUAAACUGGUAGUUCUGGCCAGAAUGAAUAUUGAAAAUAAAUCAAACUGUUUUUCAAGAAAAACUGCCUAUUACACAAGUUUUAAGACAAAAGGGGACUGCCAUGUCUGAAGGGACAACAAAACAUUGGGUUUUGAUUUCGGUUUAGAUUUUUGCCUGUAACUUAGGUUGGAUUGGGUGUAUCUAUGCUGGAUUCAAACGUCAGCAUCUUCAACUGGUAAGGUUCAGCUGGAAAUCGAUACCAAUGUCGAGACUGGCAAAGCUUUAAUCUAUCCUAGCCAUGGAGAGGCUUGCUGGAUGGGCAUAAUUGAGAUUUCUUUAGUCUAGACGAGGCUGGAUUGAUGAUUUCUUGCCUGGACUACACCACAGUACAUGUGUUUGCUUGAUUAUGAAUCAUCCAAGAGCUAUUCUGGCAAUCCUGAGAGAUCAAGGCAUUUCUGUAAAUUUGUUGAGGUUUUUAUGUUAUGAAAAGCCCUAAUUAUGUUUGAUUUGGCUUGUGCUGAGCCAAAGUUGUAACGAGAGAAAUCUCGUUUUCUUUAUAAACUAUAUUUCUAAAUUGAAUUGGAAUCAGAAACCUUAGUUCUGGCUGAUCUGUCUUUUGUAAAUCAAAAGGUUUGAUUGCUUCAGAGUUUGAAGACCUUUUGGGAUCAACUGACCUUGUUUUGAAUUCGUCAGUGUGACCUUGAGUGUUUUUGUUUUGAUUGAAUUUUUUAACUGUCCUCUAACCCUGUUCACCUCCUAUUAUAUUUAUAGGGAGUAAAUGGACGGUUCAGAUAUAAUCCAAGUUUACAAGAUUUGCAUUUGGAGCGUCUAGGAUGCUGGCUGAUGGGGCGGUGAUUGGAUGGAUGGUCACGAUUGCGUAAAUGAUCAAAUCAACGGUCGCGAUUACACAGACACAACUAUUUAAGAAUCAGGCGCCAAUUAAAAGAGCAAAGAAAAAAAAAAAGAAAACGAAACGCACGCGUUACUGUAUAGCGAAGAAAGAAACGAAAGAAAACUUUCCUGAGAAUCCAAAUGGCUUCGGCGCCAAGAAAUGACGAUGAGCCGACGGCCGAAGUUGAUUCACAGAUGCCACCUGGCGUCGUUUUCCUUCUGACUGGUCUGGAGUUGGUAGAGAUAGCUGACUCGCAUG